CUCGGUGCAGUAUAUUGUUACGUAGUACGGAUAGCAGAGACUUGGCUAAUCCGGAAAACCGAUGAGUACACACUUCUUAGUUUUUGAUAGGGAAAUCCUAAGAAAUCGUUUGGCGUUUUUAUCGGACAGUAAGAUCAAUGAGUGGAGUACAAGAAAGAACUUAAAUGGCCGUAUCAGGGACCGAACAUCGUAGUGGCCGUCAGGAACAAGACUGUACUUAUUAGCUCGGAAAAGUCUAAACUCACUACUCCGUACAGUGCUGGAAAAGUACAAUGUUGGAAAAUUCCAUUGGAAACCGAGAAGGUGACGGAAAGAUGUGAAAUAGAACUAGGAGGA